CCUACGGGUGGCUGCAGUGGGGAAUAUUGGACAAUGGGCGAAAGCCUGAUCCAGCCAUGCCGCGUGUGUGAAGAAGGCCUUCGGGUUGUAAAGCACUUUCAGUGGGGAAGAAAGCCUUGGGGCUAAUACCCUCGAGGAAGGACAUCACCCACAGAAGAAGCACCGGCUAACUCCGUGCCAGCAGCCGCGGUAAUACGGAGGGUGCGAGCGUUAAUCGGAAUUACUGGGCGUAAAGCGCGCGUAGGCGGUCUGAUAAGCCGGUUGUGAAAGCCCCGGGCUCAACCUGGGAACGGCAUCCGGAACUGGCAGACUAGAGUGCAGUAGAGGAAGGUAGAAUUCCCGGUGUAGCGGUGAAAUGCGUAGAGAUCGGGAGGAAUACCAGUGGCGAAGGCGGCCUUCUGGACUGACACUGACGCUGAGGUGCGAAAGCGUGGGUAGCAAACAGGAUUAGAUACCCGUGUAGUC
rnacentral:rRNA from 1 species